GGGGUGGGAGGAGCAUGAGCAGGAGGUGGAGUCCGUGCCGGAGUGACGCAGGCGCAGUGCGACUCCGGAGGCGCGGGCCGACCCCUCCGCGGGUUUGGAUCCGGGUCAGUCAGGCGCCGCGAUCGGGGAAGAGACGAUCUGAACUGACGGGACUGGAUCACCGGAGCGCCCCAGCUGCGAGGAGUAUUAACUGGAACAUCCAUAGUAGUGUAAAAACUUUCACAAUGAAAUCUGAAGCCAAGGAUGGAGAGGAGGAGAGUCUACAAACUGCUUUCAAGAAAUUAAGAGUGGAUGCAUCAGGGUCCAUAGCAUCUCUGUCGGUUGGAGAAGGCACAAGUGUCAGAGCAUCAGUCAGAACAGCAGCAGAUGAUACCAAACCUAAAACCACAUGUGCACCUAAAGACAGUUGGCAUGGGU